rnacentral:rRNA from 1 species
GACGAACGCUGGCGGCGUGCUUAACAAAUGCAAUUCGAACGGAAAGGCCCUGCUUUUGUGGGUUGCUCAAGUGGCGAACGGGUGAGUAACACGUGAUUAACCUGCCCUUGACUUUGGGUUAACUUCAGGAAACUGGGGCUAAUACCGGAUAGGAGCUCCGGCUGCAUGGUGGGGGUGGGAAAGUUUCGGCGGUUGGGGAUGGACUCGCGGCUUAUCAGCUUGUUGGUGGGGUAGUGGCUUACCAAGGCUUUGACGGGUAGCCGGCCUGAGAGGGUGACCGGCCACAUUGGGACUGAGAUACGGCCCAGACUCCUACGGGAGGCAGCAGUGGGGAAUAUUGCACAAUGGGCGGAAGCCUGAUGCAGCAACGCCGCGUGCGGGAUGACGGCCUUCGGGUUGUAAACCGCUUUCGCCUGUGACGAAGCGUGAGUGACGGUAAUGGGUAAAGAAGCACCGGCUAACUACGUG